AGCAAUGCAAAUUUUUGCGCACACACAAUGAAGUAUUAGACCAGAUGCACAUCAUAAUGCAACUAAAGCUGAAUCCCUGACAUUUUCACAUAUUUAGAAAUCCUGGCCGGCCGCUUUUUUAAGGUCCGAAAAAGAGGACAUGUCCGGGAAAAAGAGGACGUAUGGUCACUCUAAGACAGUGCAGUGGUCAAAGUCGUCCAGGGCAAUGGAAAGCAAAAACGCUUUCUGUGUCAAUCACCUAUACAAGUUAAACAUUCUGCUUCCUGUGGGUCCUGAACGAUGCCACGUGGAAAAGGUUUUCGCCGGUCCCAGGCUAUGAAGAGGCGGAUUGCUGAGCGCAAUUUGCUGAGCACUUCAGAACAAUUGACUGAAGAAGUGAUGCCCCAUGAAGAAGACACUUUAACAAACACUUGCCAGAACUUUCCAAUGUUUUCCAAAACUUCUCAAAUUUUGCCAUAGCUUAACAAUACUUCCCAAAACCUUUCAAAGCUUAUCAACACUUCCCAAGACUCUUGUCAAAACUUACCAAAAUGUGAACAAACUUUUCAAAAGUAUUCUGAAACAUCUUGCCAAAUUCAUGAAUUAACAUCUGUCAUAAACUCUUCUGAUGUGUUACAAAAGGUUGUUCAAGGUUCCUUUCAUCAAGGAGACAAGCGCUUUAGUGUAAACCAAAAUCGGCAGUGUGCAGUCAAUAGUUUGACAGCUGUAAUGAUGAGUCGGCUGAAACAUGCUAAGAUGGACAACAGAUGACUUGAAUGCUGUUCUGCUGCAUGGAAAUGAAAUGUACACAUCAAUGCGAUUACAGGGUAAUAUACAUGAUCCAACAAGACGAGGUUAUAUUGCUGUAGCAGAAUUGCCAACAAUCCACACAUUCUGUAAUACCAUUUAUGGUAUUAAUUUAUGAUGAAUCACUAAGAGAUGUGUCCAUGUCUUUAGAAGAAGCACUUCAGAGGGCUUUGUUACAAUCUGAUGCAUGUUUAUUAAACAUUAAAGACCAUAUUUGUGCAGUCAA